rnacentral:lncRNA from 1 species
CGCCGGUCCCUCUUCGCCUUUGCUCGCCUCUGCACGCGCAGGUCGCCACCGCUGUCGGAGUGCGCCGCCUCUUCCCGAUCCCCUCCCCUUCCUCUCCUUGCCGCUGCCGCCCCGCUCUCGGGCCGGCGUCACCUCGCUGCGCCGUCCGCGUUGCGCCACUCCCCUGUCGCACGCCACCGCUCUCCGUCGUCUCGCCGUGGCUCCC